rnacentral:rRNA from 1 species
GACGAACGCUGGCGGCGUGCUUAACACAUGCAAGUCGAACGGAAAGGCCCUGCUUUUGUGGGGUGCUCGAGUGGCGAACGGGUGAGUAACACGUGAGUAACCUGCCCUUGACUUUGGGAUAACUUCAGGAAACUGGGGCUAAUACCGGAUAGGAGCCCCUGCUGCAUGGUGGGGGGUGGAAAGUUUCGGCGGUUGGGGAUGGACUCGCGGCUUAUGAGCUUGUUGGUGGGGUGGUGGCUUACCAAGGCUUUGACGGGUAGCCGGCCUGAGAGGGUGAACGGCCACCAUGGGACUGAGAGACGGCCCAGACUCCUACGGGAGGCAGCAGUGGGGAAUAUUGCACAAUGGGCGGGAGCCUGAUGCAGCAACGCCGCGUGCGGGAUGACCGCCUUCGGGUUGUAAACCGCUUUAGCCUGUGACGAAGCGUGAGUGACGGUAAUGGGUAAAGAAGCACCGGCUAACUACGUG